CCUACGGGAGGCAGCAGUGGGGAAUAUUGCACAAUGGAGGGAACUCUGAUGCAGCGACGCCGCGUGAGUGACGAAGUAAUUCGUUAUGUAAAGCUCUAUCAGCAGGGAAGAAAGUGACGGUACCUGAAAAAGAAGCUCCGGCUAAAUACGUGCCAGCAGCCGCGGUCAUACGUAGGGAGCAAGCGUUAUCCGGAUUUACUGGGGGGAAAGGGAGAGUAGGUGGCAGAGCAAGUCCGAAGUGAAAACCCAAAGCUCAACUAUGGGAAUGCUUUAGAACAUGCGCAGCUAGCGGGCAGGAGAGGCAAGUGGAAGUCUUAGUGUAGCGGUGAAAUGCGUAGAGAUUAGGAGGAACAACAGUGGCGAAGGCGGCUUGCUGGACUGUAACUGACACUGAGGCUCGAAAGAGUGGGGAGCAAACAGGAGUAGAUACCCUAGUAGUC
rnacentral:rRNA from 1 species